AGUGAACGCUGGCGGUAGGCCUAACACAUGCAAGUCGAACGGCAGCACAGUAAGAGCUUGCUCUUACGGGUGGCGAGUGGCGGACGGGUGAGGAAUACAUCGGAAUCUACUUUUUCGUUGGUGAUAACGUAGGGAAACUUACGCUAAUACCUCAUACGACCUACGGGUGAAAGCAGGGGAUCUUCGGACCUUGCGCGAUUGAAUGAGCCGAUGUCGGAUUAGCUAGUUGGCGGGGGAAAGGCCCACCAAGGCAACGAGCCGUAGCUGGUCUGAGAGGACGAGCAGCCAGAUUGGGACUGAGACACGGCGCAGACUACUACGGUAGCAAGCAGUGGGGAAUGGUGGAAAAGGCGCGCAAGUCUGAUCCAGCAAUGCCGCGUGAAGGAAGAAGGCAUUCGGGUUGUAAACUGCGUUUGUACUGAACGAAACGGCUCCGGUUAAUACCUGGGGCUAAUGACGGUACCGUAAGAAUAAGAACAGGCUAACUACGUG
rnacentral:rRNA from 1 species